GUAAACGGGGGGGGGGGGGCGGAAGAAAGGGGAGAGAUCAGGCGAUAAACGGAAUAUUGGGACGGAGAGCGGACGGAGUCGAUUCGAGGGGGCAGAUGUCAAAGCCCCGGGUUCAGCCUGGGAUCUGCAUUUGAAACUGUCUGGAGAGAGUCUUGUAGAGGGGGGGAGAAUGCCAGGUGUAGCGGUGAAAUGCGUAGAGAUCUGGAGGAAGACCGGUGGCGAAGGCGGCCCCCUGGACAGAGACUGACGCUCAGGUGCGAAAGCGUGGGGAGCAAACAGGAUUAGGUACCCUUGUAGUC
rnacentral:rRNA from 1 species